GCGGCAGGCUUAACACAUGCAAGUCGAGCGGGCCCUUCGGGGUCGGCGGCGGACGGGUGAGUAACGCGUGGGAACGUGCCUUCUGGUUCGGAAUAACUCAGGGAAACUUGAGCUAAUACCGGAUACGCCCUUUUGGGGAAAGGUUUACUGCCGGAAGAUCGGCCCGCGUCUGGUUAGCUAGUUGGUGGGGUAACGGCCUACCAAGGCGACGAUCAGUAGCUGGUCUGAGAGGAUGAUCAGCCACACUGGGACUGAGACACGGCCCAGACUCCUACGGGAGGCAGCAGUGGGGAAUAUUGGACAAUGGGCGCAAGCCUGAUCCAGCCAUGCCGCGUGAGUGAUGAAGGCCUUAGGGUUGUAAAGCUCUUUUAUCCGGGACGAUAAUGACGGUACCGGAGGAAUAAGCCCCGGCUAACUUCGUGCCAGUAGCCGCGGUAAUACGAAGGGGGCUAGCGUUGCUCGGAAUCACUGGGCGUAAAGGGCGCGUAGGCGGUCUUUUAAGUCGGGGGUGAAAGCCUGUGGCUCAACCACAGAAUUGCCUUCGAUACUGGGAGACUUGAGUUCGGAAGAGGUUGGUGGAACUGC
rnacentral:rRNA from 1 species